AGGACAUAUGGUAUAUACCAGGAUAUAUGGUAUAUAUGGACUGUAUGUGUAUCAUGGCACCUAUAGACACCAGGAUGUAUGGUAUUUAUGGAUGGUAUUUAUGGAUUGUAUGUCUAUAUAGAUACCAGCAUACUCUGUCUUUGACUGUGGAUUUGUAUAUUUUUUUAAGCCUUUUCAGUCAAUAUUCUUGGGAUUUUUUAAAUUAGCAUGUAAUAAUUUGAUUUCUUUCUUUUCUCAGGAGGUAUCAAUUAAAUGGCAGUGGGGGUGCAGCUUUGCUUUUAAAGUGGCAAACCUUUGCAAACAACCAUGGUCCCUUCUCUGAGCCAUUCUCUGUCGAGAUGACAAGUCGCUGGCGGCUGUCAGGUCUGAGUAGGAAAUCUCCACAGCGGCGCUGAGAAUGUUUAUUGUAGGGAGAGAACUUUUGCCCUGUGAAGUCACCUCCUACUAGUCACCAGUAGGUUUCUGAUAUUCUAUCACAGGAAAUUCCUGGUGGACCACAAAAGCAAUCCCCUGAGUCCAGCUGCUGGCGGGGAGCAGUGGUGCACCACACCGCCAGGCUGAGCCUCAGCCUUCAGUGUGGGGCAGAGCACCUGUGCCCUGCAAAAUGCAAACUCUGUGCUCCUCAAACAAUGUUAAAAUGAACUAUACAGGGAGGCAAAGGUCAAGUGAACCAUUAUUGUGCUGCAUUUUAUGCAAACAAAAAAAAUGUAUUAGAGGAUGUGCUUUGUAUUGUAACAAGGGUCCAGCCCAACUCCCCAGUGAGCUCCUCACCAACCACUUGUGGCCCCUUCCCACACAGCUCUGCAGAACCUGGCUUUGUCUGGCAUCUCAUAAUCCUGACCAGCUCAGGAAAAGGAGUCACUUGUUGCCUGGACGUUGGAUUGAGCGGUGAAAGUGACCACAAAUGAAUCAGUAGAUUAGUUCCAGUCUAUUUUUGAAUUGUGAGAUAAAGUUGCUCUGCACAGAGAACAAGCUGUGUUGUACCUGCUACCCUGUCAUUCCAAAUUUCCUCCAUUAGAUUGAAGGGCCAAGAAAAAAGAGCAAGUUAUAAAAAGCUGAAUAAAACAUAUAAAACUCUCAUAAUGAAAAGAUGACAUUUUAAUUAAUCUUGGGAUGGGAAAGGUUGUUCUGUUGGAGCAUUCUGCAUAGAAAGGAACAAGC